rnacentral:lncRNA from 1 species
AAUUUCAUGUUAUCACAGAAUGAAAAGUGGUACCAAAAAGAGAUUGUGAUUUUGUAUAGAAAAAGUUGGUGGUUUGAAAUUUUGAUUGUGGAAUUCCUUCCUGGGUCUGAUGAAAAUUAGCACAGGAGCAUUUAUAUUGUUUUAGAAGAAAAGAAGAACAUGAAUCACUCACAGGAUACCCCUUUUUUGUUUUUUGUUUUUUGUUUUUUUGCUUCCUUUUGUCUGUUAAGUCAUGAUUAUGUUGUGUUAUGACUCAGUUUUUCUACUAUAUGACUUUAAAACAUUUUAUUUGGAAUUUCGAAUAAUUUUUUUUGAUAUAUUAGCUUAACAAAGAGAGAGAAAGGAAAAAAGAGAGAGAGAGAGAGAGAGAGAGAGAGAAGCAGUGAAUUUUAAUUUUCUUCAUUAAAUGAUUUUUUUGCUUUCGACAAUAGUUUUACUUUUGCAAGAUUACAUUUUUAUUUAAUUAUUUUUGUAUGUUUUAGACUACGUCUUGUUUUGAUUGACCCCAUUCUUUCUUAACUUGAUACUUAGAUGUGUUAUUCUCAAAUGAAAUAUUUAAGCCUUUUUUUAGAAGUGUGCGUUAUCAUUUUUUAUUUUUAUUUUAAUAAAUAUUAGAUAUUGUAAAAACAUUUCUUAAACUAUCCAUUAUAUAAUAUUGUUGGUAAUUUUCCUUCGAUUUUCUAUAAUGUUUCAAAUUCUAAUUUGAAUUGUAAUUUAAUUUUAUAAAUUUUUUUCAAAAAACUUUAUAUCACGUUUUUUCUAUAGCAUUUUUUUUUAAGUUUGAUUAAAUCAUCUAUCAGUAAUAAUAAUUUUGUUCAAAAUUUUAAAAAUUUAUUUAUGAUUAUCUUAAAAAAAAGAAUAGUUUCCAAAAGUAUGAAGAUACAAAUAAUCAAGUAAUGAAAAUUGUAACAAAUUUCAUAAAUAUCCCAAGAAAAAAUGACUAAUUAUCAGAAUAAAAAAAAACUCAUUCCACCAUGUCUUUUCCUCUCAUAGCCCCUUCUCUAAUUUUUUUUAAAGUAUAAAACGAACUAAAUGCAGCUUUUCAAUUUUAACCCACCACAAGCCUUUAAAAAUUGAA